GACGAACCGUGCAAACGUUGUUCGGAAUCACUGGGCUUAAAGGGCGCGUAGGCGGGCCAGCCAGUCUGUGGUGAAAGCCUCCAGCUUAACUGGAGAAGUGCCGUGGAUACUGCUGGCCUCGAGGAGGGUAGGGGCAUCUGGAACGGUCGGUGGAGCGGUGAAAUGCGUUGAUAUCCACAGGAACUCCGGUGGCGAAGGCGGCCUGCUGGACCCGAACUGACGCUGAGGCGCGAAAGCCAGGGGAGCGAACGGG
rnacentral:rRNA from 1 species